CACCGGCACACACGCACCCACACCCAGAGUGGGAAAGGCGAGGCGAGCCACCCCAAGCCGUCUCCGGUCUCCUCGCGGGGGCCCCCCGGCCCGCCCCGGUGCCACUUGGCAUCCCACGCCACAGGAGACGGUGCGGAGAGCGGUAAGGCUUUCUAACCUGUUGGUGGUGCAAAGUCUAACCUGUUGGUGGUACAAAGACCCACUUCGAGAGGAUCCUUUGGUGUCUUGGACAAGCCUCCCCGCAUGUGGCAGGUGCUGUGCUGGUCACCGGUGACCCAAGGAUGAUGAAAAAUAUGUCCCUGCCCACAAGGAGUUAGCAGCCCCCUGAGGAUUCCUCUUGCUGAUGACAUGAUUCCCGUUUGAAUCUGUUUACAAGAUUCUGAAAGCUGAACAGGGAAUUGUGCUGCACUGGCAUAGCAAGAAGUUGAUCAUAUCAAGGAUACCUGGAGCAGGAGAGAGCAGACGGGGAGACGGACCAGGAUGUCUUCCAAGCGACCAGCCUCUCCGUAUGGGGAAGCAGAUGGAGAGGUAGCCAUGGUGACAAGCAGACAGAAAGUGGAAGAAGAGGAGAGUGACGGGCUCCCAGCCUUUCACCUUCCCUUGCAUGUGAGUUUUCCCAACAAGCCUCACUCUGAGGAAUUUCAGCCAGUUUCUCUGCUGACGCAAGAGACUUGUGGCCCUAGG